rnacentral:rRNA from 1 species
AAUAGAUACCCUGGUAGUCCACGCCGUAAACGAUGAGUGCUAAGUGUUAGAGGGUUUCCGCCCUUUAGUGCUGCAGCUAACGCAUUAAGCACUCCGCCUGGGGAGUACGGCCGCAAGGCUGAAACUCAAAGGAAUUGACGGGGGCCCGUACAAGCGGUGGAGCAUGUGGUUUAAUUCGAAGCAACGCGAAGAACUUUACCAGGUCUUGACAUCCUCUGCCAACCCUAGAGGUAGGGCGUUCCCCUUCGGGGGACAGAGUGACAGGUGGUGCAUGGUUGUCGUCAGCUCGUGUCGUGAGAUGUUGGGUUAAGUCCCGCAACGAGCGCAACCCUUGAUCUUAGUUGCCAGCAUUCAGUUGGGCACUCUAAGGUGACUGCCGGUGACAAACCGGAGGAAGGUGGGGAUGACGUCAAAUCAUCAUGCCCCUUAUGACCUGGGCUACACACGUGCUACAAUGGAUGGUACAAAGAGCUGCGAACCCGCGAGGGUAAGCCAAUCUCAUAAAGCCAUUCUCAGUUCGGA